rnacentral:rRNA from 1 species
GUAUGCCUACGGGGCGCAGCAGUAGGGAAUUUUCGUCAAUAGGCGCAAGCCUGAACGAGCAAUGCCGCGUGAACGAGGAAGGUCUUCGGAUCGUAAAGUUCUGUUAAAGGGGAAAAAGAGCGGAGAGAGGAAAUGAACUCCGAUUGAUAUUACCCUUCGAGGAAGUCACGGCUAACUACGUGCCAGCAGCCGCGGUAAUACGUAGGUGGCGAGCGUUAUCCGGAAUGAUUGGGCGUAAAGGGUGCGUAGGCGGCCUGCUAAGUCUGGAGUGAAAGGUACCGGCUCAACCGGUACAGGCUCUGGAA